UUCUUUAAAUGGCUGAGAAAUUAGACUGUGCUGAAUAGAAUGAAUAUUCUUGUCUUUGUAACCUUUUUGUAACUUAAGGUUUUGCCUAGAGGGAUUCUCUGUGUUUUGAAUCUGAUUACCCUGUAAAUUAUUUACCAUCCUGACUUUAGAAAGGUGAUUCCUUUACAUUUUCUUUAAUUAAAAAUCUUCUUUUAAGA